AUUAAAGCUGCACUUAUUCUGGUGUGGUUUAUAAGUUGUUUUCAAAACCAGUUUUAAAAUCAAAGAGGAAACAUAUUUUCGAAAUAAAAUAAAACCCCUCUCUUGGGCCCUCCCUCUCUCUGGCCCAGCUCUCUCUCUUCCUGGACACCAUCUUCCCGGAGGCCACCUCUUUUCCCCAGCUCACCGACCCAUUCCUACCUUUCAGCCCGAACCACCUCACCGUCUCAGCCCGUACCCCUUUCGAUCUUUCUAUCCAUCCUUGUCGUCUUCCACACCGAGCACGCACUUUGCGUGAGCCCUGUGGUCCUCUUCCCCCUCCACCACGACGCCAACCAUCGCUCCUCCUUAUCUCCUCGUUCUGGACCACGCCCGUUUCCUCCAGCCCCAAGUUUCCUCUCCUUCCCUUUUCUUCUUCCUGUGCAAGCAACGGGAGAAACUCCCUCAGUACCGCCACUGCCUCGCCUUGGCGCCAUCACAGCAAGCCACCCCGCGUCAAGCCGAGGGCACCAGGAGAUCCACGGCGUCGUCCUCUACAUCCUCGUCCAAGGAAUCGACCUGAGGCGCUUUGUAUCAAGCGCACGGUCGCCGAUUCCUCCUCCGUCUCCGGCGAGAUAAUCCUCAAUUCCGGCCGCUGGAGACCUCCCCCAUCCUCUCCGACCUCAUCCACGGCUUCCUGGUGAUGUGCUCGUUCUUCCAGACCUCUUCCCCGUCUCAAUCUCGUCCUCGUUUUCUUUCUACCGACGUUGACCACCGGUAACCUCCGCAGGAGCUCGUAGCCGGCGACACUCCGGUGCAUCCCCGGCCAUCCCAACACUUGCAGCUGAACCGCUACGUCAUGGCGCACCCUCGACGCCAUCUGUCUCGUCCCGGGUCGCUCUUAUCCGCCGAAUCCAUCACAGACCUGCUCCUCCGCCAUGGCUGCAAGCUCUUCCUCACGUCCUCGGCUGGUUCAAGUUUUGUCCAGCCUCUUUUGUACAACAAAAGCAUGAGCAGCACACUGUUCUCGCGGCGAAGAUGCUUCAAUAAGUGUAGAGCCUUUUUCUAUAUCAACAACGGGGACGUAGCAUGUCUGGUUCGUCCUUUAUCCUUGAAUCCGGAGACCCAGGUUCAAAUCACAAGCUACAGGUUUAAUCAUCCAAUUCUUUUUGUUCCUACUGAGAUCCGGCGCCUACUGGGCCUCGGGCCGUAUCCUCGUCAGCUUCUUCGAUGCCAAGCGCGCGGCAGCCCGCUUUUCGCUGCUCAGCAUUUUCUUCUUCCUGGAUAGGAUCACGAAGUGGUG